UACGUAGGUGGCAAGCGUUGUCCGGAAUUAUUGGGCGUAAAGAGCUCGUAGGCGGUUUGUCGCGUCUGCUGUGAAAACUCAGGGCUUAACCCUGAGCCUGCAGUGGGUACGGGCAGACUAGAGUGUGGUAGGGGAGAUCGGAAUUCCUGGUGUAGCGGUGGAAUGCGCAGAUAUCAGGAGGAGCACCGGUGGCGAAGGCGGAUCUCUGGGCCAGUGAACUGACGCUGGAGGAGCGAAAAGCAUGGGGAGCGAACAGGA
rnacentral:rRNA from 1 species